UGGGGAAUCUUGCGCAAUGGGCGAAAGCCUGACGCAGCAACGCCGCGUGAGUGAUGAAGGUCUUCGGAUCGUAAAGCUCUUUCGGCCGGGACGAAAACCUGGAGGUUAACAGCCUCCGGCUUGACGGUACCGGAAGAAGAAGCACCGGCUAACUCUGUGCCAGCAGCCGCGGUAAUACAGAGGGUGCAAGCGUUGUUCGGAAUUAUUGGGCGUAAAGCGCGUGUAGGCGGUGAUGUAUGUCGGGUGUGAAAGCCCUCAGCUUAACUGAGGAAGUGCGCCCGAAACUACAUCGCUAGAGUGCCGGAGAGGGUGGCGGAAUUCCCGGUGUAGAGGUGAAAUUCGUAGAUAUCGGGAGGAACACCAGUGGCGAAGGCGGCCACCUGGACGGACACUGACGCUGAGACGCGAAAGCGUGGGUAGCAAACAGG
rnacentral:rRNA from 1 species